UAGAUCUCAAAUCAGGUAGGACUACCCGCUGAA
rnacentral:rRNA from 2 species